AUGGCUCUCGCGGCCGCCGCCGUCGCCGCCGCGCGCCCCUCCCCGACCGGCUUGCCCCGCCCGUUAUGCCGCGCCUCCGCGCAUCCGUGCCGCCCUCGGCGGUUCCGGCUGGAGGCGAGCUUGUCGGCCUCCACGCCGGCGCCCGCGCCGGCGACAGCGGACGAGGGGGCCGCUGCGGGGCCGUGCCCCGUGGUCAGGUUCGACAUGGCCGACUUCACUGUCGCCGACCGCGUCAGCGUCGGGCUCCACGGACGGUCCGAUGAGAUGAUCUUCGAGGCCACGGUGCGCGAUCCUAGCAGUGAGCUGUACGGGUCGACGGUGGUGUUGCGGCAGCUGACUAGCUCACAGGCGAAGCGGAGGGGCCGCCGCGCGCUAGAGGUGCUCAAGAAGCUGGCCCAUCGCCAGAUGAUGUACCACUCUUACGCGAUGCAGGUCCAUGGCUACGUCACUCCGAGCAAGGCCAUGGAAGAGGGUGAUAGUCCGCUUGUCUUGGUGCACGGGUACCAUGGGAGUUACUCCUUGCGUCACUGGUUGCAACUCUCGGAUUGGCUUCCAACCUUGGAAGCAACAUUAGCAUUGGAUGAAGAACAAGUAAGGAGGGUAGGAGAUGAUUCGGUUGGAGGGCCUGCUGUAACUCGGCAGCUGCGUUUAAUCAGGAUAUUGAUGAGAGACCUUCUGAUUGGUGUAAAUUAUCUGCAUAGCCAUGGAAUGGCGCAUACUGAGCUUAGACUGGAGAAUGUUCAUGUAAGCCCAGUAGACAAGCAUGUCAAAGUUGGUAUUCUUGGGAAUGCUGUUGAUUUUCAUGACAAUGACCCCAGCAGCAGUGCAGUAGCAAGUAACAAUGAGAGGCGGAAAAUGAUGAUAGCAUUUGACAUGAGAUGCGUGGGCUUCAUAAUGGCAAAGAUGGUUUUGAGAGAGCUCAUGGAUUCAUCGACAUUCCAAAAAUUCAAGUCAUUCUUGAAUAAGGGAAAUGAUCCAUCAUGUCUGCGUGAGUUCCUUUUACCGAUUCUAAGCCAAAAUUCUCCAUCUGGGAAUAUUGGUCUGCAGAUGCUAGAUAGGCACUGGGGUGCUGGUUGGAAUCUUUUGGCCUUAUUACUGGCAACAAAAUCUGACAAAAGGAUAAGUUGUGUCGAUGCACUGCGUCACCCCUUCCUUUGUGGACCUAAAUGGCGUAUAAGUCCAACAGUGAAUGUCGUACGCUGGGGCUUGGGAUCUACUGCUGUCCGCCUGGCUGAAGAUUAUAUUUAUGGGCAUCAUCAGCGUAGACGGUUAGCAUAUUUCAUUGAGUUGAUGGAGGUGCUAAACCCUAAUUCAAGUACAGAGAAUUGGCUUCGCCUCCUACCUGGUCGCUGGUGCCUCUUAUACUGCACUGGAAGGCACAUCGGUCUAACACUUCGUCAGCCUACCCCCAGAGUCCUCAUCAGUGAUGCGUUCCUCACAUUCGCCGAAGCCCCAGAAUCUGUGGAUCCCAUUUUAUCUCUGACCUCAGAUAUUGGUUUCAAAAUCAUGCCGGAAUCCGACUGGCCCCACGACAAAUCUGGAACCGAAGGAAAUCUGUCAGUUACCACAUCGGCAAGGAUAACUCCUGGGAGGAUUUACACCAAUGCCGAGGAUGGUAAAGAGAGUAGUAGUAGGAUUACAUCUUCCAGAUAUCUUGGCGGUAAAUGGGGAAAAGCCGCAAAGAUGAAGCAACUGCCAGCCAGCCUCCCCACCGCUAGCGUUAACGUGGACGAGAACGACGUCGACGUGUCCAUGAGUUGCGGCUCAACUUUGAAAGUCAAGUCUGCACGCAAAGUGCUGCAAGAGGUCCGUACGCAGACGCCACCGGAGAUGUUCGACCUGUCAAAGAUUGUUUGCGGUACAUACAUUGAUUCAAGGUUGAUGGUUCUUCGCGGUGUUAAUGGGUCGGCUUUACUUUUCGUUAGAUCAAAUCGUACGUCUGACCCCUGA
rnacentral:rRNA from 1 species